rnacentral:lncRNA from 1 species
GGAAGAUGGCGUGGCGAGGCUGGGCGCAGAGAGGCUGGGGCUGCGGCCAGGCGUGGGGUGCGUCGGUGGGCGGCCGCAGCUGCGAGGAGCUCACUGCGGUCCUAACCCCGCCGCAGCUCCUCGGACGCAGGUUUAACUUCUUUAUUCAACAAAAAUGCGGAUUCAGAAAAGCACCCAGGAAGGUUGAACCUCGAAGAUCAGACCCAGGGACAAGUGGUGAAGCAUACAAGAGAAGUGCUUUGAUUCCUCCUGUGGAAGAAACAGUCUUUUAUCCUUCUCCCUAUCCUAUAAGGAGUCUCAUAAAACCUUUAUUUUUUACUGUUGGGUUUACAGGCUGUGCAUUUGGAUCAGCUGCUAUUUGGCAAUAUGAAUCACUGAAAUCCAGGGUCCAGAGUUAUUUUGAUGGUAUAAAAGCUGAUUGGUUGGAUAGCAUAAGACCACAAAAAGAAGGAGACUUCAGAAAGGAGAUUAACAAGUGGUGGAAUAACCUAAGUGAUGGCCAGCGGACUGUGACAGGUUUGUGUUAGCUUACACGUUUUAACCAUUCAAGGGAAGAGAAAUCAAACCAAAAGGUACAGUAUGUCACAAGCAAUGGCUCUUGUACCAUGCUCACCAGUGGUUUAGAAGACAGUCUCUGUACUGAUAGGCUAAUGUAAUAGUAUAUAAAGUGGUGAGGUAUAAAGGUUUACAUGAUGCUCUGGGUCCGUUACUUUCUAAUUUUGAUUUAGUAUGAUACUGAUUGAUCAGUUUUGUUGUAGAAUUCCAGCUUGUGGAAUAGCUUAUUAAUUAUUACUUCCCUUAUUAAAGAAACUAAUGGAAACAUUAAGUACCUUCUAUAUUCAGGAUGCUGUAAUACACAUUCUGUCCCUACUUGGAGUUGCUUACAGAGUAGUUGUCUCCCUUUUUACAGAUAAGGAAACCGGCUUUCAGAGAAGGAACUUUUGAAAGUCAAACUGCUAGUAAGCAAUAGAGCAGAGUUUCAAAACCCAAGUCUGUCCAUUCGAAAACCAGUUUUCGCUCUUCUCCCCCAUGCUAUUUAUAAAACCCCAUUUAAAUGUAAGCAUGACAUGCAUGUCACCAUGAUAACUUUUUUUCUUUGUAAAUUGUUAUGGAAAGACAGAUUUGGCUCUUCAAGUUAACACCUCUGCAAUAUUUCAUGGAGUCAGUUAUUUGAGAAACUUGAAAAUAGAUUUUUGCCAGGAAGAGUGGCUCAUGCCUGUAAUCCCAGAACUUUGGGAGGCCAAGGUGGGCGGAUUCCUUGAGCUCAGGAGUUCGAGGCCAGCUCAGGCAACAUGACAAAACCCCAUCUCUACCAAAGAUACAAAAAAUUAGCCAGGUGUGGUGGUGCGUGCCUGGGGUCCCAGCUACUUGGGAGGCUGAAGCAGGAGAAUUUUGAACCUGGGAGGCAGAGGUUGCAGUGAGCUGUGGUCCUACUAUUACACUCCAACCUGGGUGACAGAUGAGACUC